UACGGCGGGAGCUCGCGUUGUUCGGAAUUACUGGGCGUAAAGCGCGCGUAGGCGGUUUUCCAAGUCAGUGGUGAAAGCCCGGGGCUCAACCCCGGAAUAGCCUUUGAGACUGGAAAACUAGAGUCUUGGAGAGGUCAGUGGAAUUCCGAGUGUAGAGGUGAAAUUCGUAGAUAUGCGGAAGAACACCAGUGGCGAAGGCGACUGACUGGACAAGUAUUGACGCUGAGGUGCGAAAGCGUGGGGAGCAAACAGG
rnacentral:rRNA from 1 species